AGUGAACGCUGGCGGUAGGCCUAACACAUGCAAGUCGAACGGCAGCACAGUAAGAGCUUGCUCUUACGGGUGGCGAGUGGCGGACGGGUGAGGAAUACAUCGGAAUCUACUUUUUCGUGGGGGAUAACGUAGGGAAACUUACGCUAAUACCGCAUACGACCUACGGGUGAAAGCAGGGGAUCUUCGGACCUUGCGCGAUUGAAUGAGCCGAUGUCGGAUUAGCUGGUUGGCGGGGUAAAGGCCCACCAAGGCGACGAUCCGUAGCUGGUCUGAGAGGAUGAUCAGCCACACUGGAACUGAGACACGGUCCAGACUCCUACGGGAGGCAGCAGUGGGGAAUAUUGGACAAUGGGCGCAAGCCUGAUCCAGCCACACCGCGUGGGUGAAGAAGGCCUUCGGGUUGUAAAGCCCUUUUGUUGGGAAAGAAAAGCAGCAGGUUAAUACCCCGCUGUUCUGACGGUACCCAAAGAAUAAGCACCGGCUAACUUCGUG
rnacentral:rRNA from 1 species